GAUGAACGCUGGCGGCGUGCCUAAUACAUGCAAGUCGAGCGAACAGAUAAGGAGCUUGCUCCUUUGACGUUAGCGGCGGACGGGUGAGUAACACGUGUGUAACCUACCUAUAAGACUGGGAUAACUUCGGGAAACCGGAGCUAAUACCGGAUAACAUUUGGAACCGCAUGGUUCUAAAGUGAAAGAUGGUUUUGCUAUCACUUAUAGAUGGACCCGCGCCGUAUUAGCUAGUUGGUAAGGUAACGGCUUACCAAGGCAACGAUACGUAGCCGACCUGAGAGGGUGAUCGGCCACACUGGAACGGAGACACGGUCCAGACUCCUACGGGAGGCAGCAGUAGGGAAUCUUCCGCAAUGGGCGAAAGCCUGACGGAGCAACGCCGCGUGAGUGAUGAAGGGUUUCGGCUCGUAAAACUCUGUUAUUAGGGAAGAACAAACGUGUAAGUAACUGUGCACGUCUUGACGGUACCUAAUCAGAAAGCCACGGCUAACUACGUG
rnacentral:rRNA from 1 species